CAAAUAUAUGACGACCAGAAAUUGUGUGAGCAAGAGGAAGAUUCAAAUUUUCCAUAUAUUUGACGACCCGAAAUUGUGUGAUCAAGGGGAAGAAUUAAAUUUUCCAAAUAUUUGAUGAGAGGUACAGUACAGUAUCGGGGCCGCGUUACUGAUGAUUAUGACAAACGCUUACUAAACACUUUUGGUCGUGCUUGGUUUCACGAUCAUCUUUUCGACGAAGCCUUCAAACUCUAUAAAGGCUGCAAGACAUUUAAAGAACAAGAAGCUUACUUGGCAGCUAUCGAGGAAUUGCGUAGCAUAGAUCCGCCGCGAGUACAUGGUUUUCAUACAAAUGCUGACUUAUCAGAUUAACACGACUAGAAGCAUGUAGUCGCUAUACAGCCAAAAGGUGGGGUUGAUGAGAGACAAUUUCAAUUAUAUUCUGCAUUGUAGGACUAAGAUAUGAAUUUUUAUUGAUUUUGAUGCAUUUGAGAAGCGCCUAACGUUUGAACGUUUGAUGAAAAGAACGAUAAGACGUAGUAUGUGCACAUCUUCCUUCUAAUGACUACAUGGUAACUGCACCUACUAUUAAUUGCUUUCUCGGUGAUUAUACAUGAAAUUAUAUACAGCUUUGCGGAUUCAAACAACAUUAAAUUUAAUCCAAUAUCAAAGUCAGGAGGCAAAGUAAACGAAAUCAAAAAUGCGUAUCUUAAUUAAUAGAUUGUUUUAAUUAUUUAAUUGUUUCAAUCAAAUAAGAUUUAAAUUGAAUACGAACGUUCUUUUGCCAAAUUUGGCUUGAACAUUGGCCAAACUUAACCAGAAUAGAUUUACACCUAAUGAACUGAAAUGAGAAAUGAGAUCAACGUCAAUCUAUACUACGGGUCAAAGAAGUUUCUAAUCUGUACCGUUAUAUAGAGAUAUAUUUCGAUAAGUUGAUAAGAUUUGUCUAAAAGUAUUGAUAACGAACAUAAAAAAAUAUACAUAAAAGUUGUAAAAUGUUUUAGUGCCUUUUGCUUGAUUUUUAGAAGCUUCUUCGAAGUAUUUACAGAAAUUGAAAUUGAAGGACGAUUAUAGUGAAAUCCAGCAGAUGGUUAAUAUUGAUAUCAUCGAUGAUAUUGCCUACUUAACAAGUAAACCAGUAUGUAAGACGAAGGUGAGGGAAUUCUUAAUUCUGUUGGCUCAACGAUGAAAAAGUUUAUGCAGCUAUUAACUCCCGCAACAGUGGCAAACUUAGACGUCGCUGUGCAGAGAAAAAUUAUUCAUAAAGAAGAAGACUUACGGACAUACGAAGUUAUCGCUUCUCUGACUGCAUUAUGCGAAGUCAUGCACACGGGCGAGAUAAGCAGCGCCCAAUGGGAAGGACAGAAGGCGGUGCUGGCGAAAGUGAAAACUUGUCUAACAAAUAAAUUCCCGACGGCUGAAAUAACUAGGCCCACCUUGAAUACCAUCAACAACUUCGAGAAGAUCAUGGAUGACCUGCUGGAGGCUUACCCUGGCAUAACUAUACACGCCUGCAGGGUAAGCCAAGACCUCUUGGAGAAAUUUUUCUGCAAGAUGGCGCCACGCAGGAGAAAGAGAACAAGACCGGUGGAUGGUGUGAUGAAGCUAGGCAUCCGCUUAAUCAAACAACAAUUCGAGUUUUGGAGAGGCUGAAUUAUAAGACACCAGCCCAGGCCGAAGAUGAGUUCCUGCCUUACGACCUGAAUGGGGUGCCGUUCAAAGUAGCUGCCAAACGUCUAACCAUUAACGAGGCGGAACACUUCAGGCUGCUCAUAGGCUAUGGAACAGCCCAAUACAUCCGUAAGCAGCUAAGAUGCGAAGCGUGCCUAAGCGACCUAACGCUAACGAAGGAAGAAGCGUGCCACGAUGAAAUCCUGGCUAAUAAGCAUCUGGAACCAGAAUUUCCGAGGCUUAAUGUGCUCAAUGUUUUCUUGGAAGCCAUGGGCAUCUACUUGGAAAUUAUGAGAUUUCAUAUGGUUGAGCCCAACAUCGGCAAGCGUACCCAGGCGGCAAUUCUAAAGCAGCUAGACUUCUUGAAGAAAAGAGGCUCCUGCCCCAAUGGAAGAAGUCACCGGACUAACCUCCUAGGCUUCAUCAUACAUUUGCUACUGAUUGACAAAAACUGGAUCCAAAAAAGAGUUAAAAAUGUAUCAUCAUUUUGAAGUCGUUCUCGUUCGCUCGCAAAGUCAAAUCCAGCUAUCCGGUCGCCGCCUCCUAUAGAUGAAGAUUCGCUACAUGCUAAAGAUCAAAGAGCAUGCUUCGUUUUUCACCUCCACUCAUCGUUUCAGCAGAAUGGGAUACUUCCGUAGGCCAAUGAUGUCAGCACACCGGCAUACCAGUAAUUUUUAUUUU